rnacentral:rRNA from 1 species
GACGUAGGGCGCGAGCGUUGUCCGGAUUUAUUGGGCGUAAAGAGCUCGUAGGCGGCUCGUUGCGUCAACCGUGAAAACCCGGGGCUUAACUUCGGGCUUGCGGUUGAUACGGGCGGGCUGGAGUUCGGUAGGGGAGACUGGAAUUCCUGGUGUAGCGGUGAAAUGCGCAGAUAUCAGGAGGAACACCAAUGGCGAAGGCAGCUCGCUGGGACGUGACUGACGCUGAGACGCGAAAGCGUGGGGAGCAAACAGG